rnacentral:rRNA from 1 species
GGGUCCACCUCCCACCCGUGUUUAUUGUACCUUGUUGCUUCGGUGCGCCCGCCUCACGGCCGCCGGGGGGCUUCUGCCCCCGGGUCCGCGCGCACCGGAGACACCAUUGAACUCUGUCUGAAGAUUGCAGUCUGAGCAUAAACUAAAUAAGUUAAAACUUUCAACAACGGAUCUCUUGGUUCCGGCAUCGAUGAAGAACGCAGCGAAAUGCGAUAACUAAUGUGAAUUGCAGAAUUCAGUGAAUCAUCGAGUCUUUGAACGCACAUUGCGCCCCCUGGUAUUCCGGGGGGCAUGCCUGUCCGAGCGUCAUUGCUGCCCUCAAGCACGGCUUGUGUGUUGGGCUCCGUCCCCCCGGGGACGGGCCCGAAAGGCAGCGGCGGCACCGAGUCCGGUCCUCGAGCGUAUGGGGCUUUGUCACCCGCUCUGUAGGCCCGGCCGGCGCCAGCCGACAACCCAUCAUCCUUUUCAGGUUGACCUCGGAUCAGGUAGGGAUACCCGCUGAACUUAAGCAUAUCAAUAGGCGGAGGAA